rnacentral:lncRNA from 1 species
GAAGAUCAUAUUGCUCAAAGGGUCAAGCGGGAAGAGACCAGUGGGAAUAAUCCUGAAAACGGCUCGCCGGAUGCGGAUGGUGGAGACGGACGAAGCAGUGGACCACCGCACAACAGAGAGCACCACUUAACGCCUCCCGAGAUGGAGGACGGAGCAUCAAGCACGCCGGGCGAGCAGCGUGGAAGACAGCAAAUAGACCAUAGUUCUCAGUUACGCCAACAAACUGAUCAGCAGAUGAGCAGUACGCUGCCGUCGCAAUCACCAAAGAAACCGAGCCUGAUCGAGAAACCGCUCCAGGUGCCGGCCCAGGCUCAAGCACAGGCGCAAACCCAAGCCCAAGUCCAAGGGCGGCGGGUGCAGAAGCGGAAGCUUCUUCUUCCGACACAACACCGGGAGGGCGACAACAGCAGCUCCGAGGAGGACAUCCCAGCCGCCCGGAGGUGCCUGGUCCUGAGCCCGGCCUCCUCCUGCCACUCCUCCGUCGCCCAACCGAGCCCACGACAGCACCCGCCCGAAGAGACCGACCCUCCCGGCCCACCACGGCCGCCACCUCCGUCAAAGACCUCGAGCAGGCCAUGUCCAAACACCUCCCCUCCUCGCCACCCUCCCUCUCACAACCGACCGACUUCAGCACCGACUCCCUCCUCAAGCAACAACAACGAAGCACCAUCCAGUGGAUCGGCACCCACCACCUCCAAAACGGCGCCCCGCUCCCCGCCUCCUCCCUCCUCCGCCAGCUCUACGCCAACCGGGAGAGCGUCAUCCGCGCUACCGUCACUUCCGGUCGCUCCGGCUCGUCCCCGAGCGGCGGCUACUACCCCGGCUCCGAGAUCAACCACGUCGGCCCCUUACCCACUCCCCCCGGCAGCGAGAGCUCUUACUGUGAUCAAUUCUUGAAGUCCUCGACCGAGCCUUUCAGCAUGUACUCCCACUCGGGCACCAACGGCUACGACUACCACUCGGCCAUGACGCCACCCUCUUCAGUCUCGCCGCGGGACAAACACCAGCAGCAGCUCCAUUCCAACGGGGCCUUCGACAACUCCGUGUAUACGGAUGUUCUCCGGCACCAGUACUUGAGCUCCGGGAAUGGUGGCGACAUCCCUGCCCAACCGUUCCCGCUCAAACCGCAGCCUUAUGCGGCGGUCCACCCGAGUGCCCUCGACGCCGCCUAUGCCACGGGGUCUCUCUCGAGCAGUCGCAGUUCUACCACCAUUCCGCUGGCUUCCACCUAUACCACCCGACGGCCUCCAAGGCCUUCUCGGCGGCGUCCGAUCCCCUGAAGAAUUCCACCAGUUGGUAUUCCGCGCCGUCGUAGUCCAAUCCGAGGUUCCCCGGUUAGGAAUGUUUUUUUCCACACGGGAAUGUGACCGUCCGCAGGGACUCGUCCACGAGGGAGAUUUUUCGGACGGGGAUUUCUUUUCAAGUUGGUCCGUUCCGAAGAUCUAAUUUUGAGUUUUUGACGGGAAAGCACCUUCUCAAGUAGCACUUAUUGUAAUUAAAAAUGAUUGCCAUUGGGCCGGAGUGUAGGGUAUAUCGUCUAUAUACUGAUUGAAGGGACUUCUCUGAGUGAAAUUAAUUCAAAUAAGGUGCAAUUUUUUUCUGCAUUGAAAAUAGGCUAUCUCUCUUAUCCAUGAAACUCAUUUUAUUGAUCGUUUAGAACCGGCAUCUAUUGACCAAAUAAUGUAAAAUUAUCACUAUUUCAUGGUUAUUAAUUGAAAUUUUAUUGCAUUGAAAUAAAAAUUAUUACAAUAUUUUUGUUGCAUUGUGCUACUUGGAUUUAAAUCGCCAGAAACGUACUUUCGUCAUGUUUUGUGCCAAUACAGAUGCUUUCCCUCCCCACAGACCAGUGGCGUGGCGUGCUUUGCGAUAUAUCGGUUGUUAUGCCAUUUAAACCUAUGGAAAAGAAUCGAUAAACAGGGUGUUCGCAGCGAACACCUUAAUAAUCAAUUCUUUACCAUAGGUUUAAAUGGUAGAACAAUCGAUUUAUCGCAAUUCACGCCACGCCACUGCCACAGACCUCCUCAGCCUUCAGCAUUCUUGAGCGUUGCUUAUGCUAAGGUAUUUCCACGAUUCACAUUUGCAAAAAUCCCUACCAAUGUCUCAGUUGUGAGUUCUUCAGCAGUGAGGUCCAUUCCCCAAGCGAAGGAUGAUCACCAAAAAUAAUAUCAUUUUCAUUGGGCAGUAGUAGAAAGUAACCUCAAUAAAAGCAUAUGACACCAUGUGUGCCGAACAAAACUGACGAAAUCCUAAACUAUGUAGGUACCUACAUUUCGAAGUGUUGUAUGAGGGAAGAUUUGAUCCAAACAUUAAGCAUCCCAAUUUUUUAGCAAGACCUAAAUUUUCGUUACAGUUGACUGAAAUCAUACUGAGUAGGAAUACAUACUUACUGCAAAAAUUUUCAAUUUCAGUUGCCCCUUUUUCCACGUUAUGUCGGUGAUUGUAGGUUCCUCUUGCAAGUUUUCAAAACCACUUGCUUUGUCAUUCUGUAUAAAUUCACUGGCUCAAGAAACUCUUGCGCAUAGGUACUUUUUUAUUAUUUAUUUCAAUUUUUUGUUAACGUUUUGUUUAUGUUUGUAAUUAUCAAUUCCAAUAAUCGUGUAAUUAUGUAUGAUACUGUAUCUAUUUUACUCAGUAAAACUGAUUUUUUUACUUCUCUUUAUCAUUUUUGUACCGAGGUAAUAAUUGAUGAUGUAACAAUACUUCACAUUUACAAGGGUGCUUUAAAAAGUCAAGGUGUUUUAGCAGUACCUAAAUUGUUGAUACUAGAUAAUUUUGAGUAAUGAACUGACAUCAGUCACUUCUUUGAACAUUUUUAGUGACUGAUAUACUCUUAGGAUGGCUUGAUGUUUUUCUCUUCAUCUUCUUUGUCUUUCGUCCUCUGCUCUUAUUCGUCCUUCCUCUUGAGACAGAUUGCUAUCUUUCUUGAUGUUUCAAUUGUUGUUUCUUUUUUUUCCCUCGUUGCCCUCUCUAUGACUCAUCCUCUCCUACAUUUUUUUUUUUUGUGGCAAAAUGACUCUAAAAUGAACACUGAAAUAAUUUCUCUUUACUCUUGCGACAAUGCUAGCUCCCUUCCUCAGUUGGAUUCCCUGCUUAAUCUCAUACUUAGACAAGCAUUGAUUUUCCUCUGUUAUUCUGAUGUACUCUUGGAGUAAGGCUAGCAGGAUAUUGGAUGCGCCAGUUUUUAAUCGGGAGAAUUUGUCAGGAACUCUUUUAGGAAUUUGGCAGCCAUUAAUGUGAGCAUGACUGUGCUCCUCUUAUAAAUUAUCACACUGAGAGUGCACAUUUUUAGCUUUCCAGUUUUCUGUUUCAAACAGUUAAGAUUUCUAAUAUUUGAAAUACCUACCCACAAUUUAUCAGAAACGCACUCAUAAUUCAUAAUUUUUUUUCUUUUCCGAAUUCCAAUCUUUGAUUUCCAAGCUGGACAAAAAUAGGGAGAAAUUGUGCUGUGAUAUAAUUUAUUAAUAGUGAAUUUGUAAAAUGCGAAUAAUAGGAAAAUCUUAGAAAGUUAAGUAAACCAUAAAUUAAGUUGUUUUUUUCUUUCUUGUACCUUUAUGUAUACCUGUGAAAUCUCUCCAUCUCAGUAUUUUUCAUUUUCAUCUCUUCGUCCGCUUACUUGUAAAAUUUCUGUUUUCGUAUGUCACUAAAGAAGAAUGUCUAAUAGUUACAAUUUUUGUACAAUGCCGAAAGAAAAGACCAUGAGCAAGAAAAGAAGUAAGAAUUCAAGUAAAGAGAAUCAUGUGCAAUAUUUUUUUUACGUUCUUUGCGAUUGGUUGUAAUUGUAACUGUGUACUCCUAUGUCUUUGAAAAUUAUCUGUUAUUAUUCUUUUUAUCAUAAUAUCAUUAUUAUUUUUUACAUUAUCCUUUUAAUCUAUAGUAUCAUUAAUCAUGAAGAAUGUGUGUUAUCUUACAAAUUUUUAAAAUACCUGCUUGUCCUCAUCUAUGAAGGUAAACUUUCAGUCCGACUUGAGCUACCAAGGUGCAAAUUUUUCGUAAGAGUACUUAAUUGAGUGGGAACGAUCACAAAUAACUCGUCAUAGGGUAAACUAGAAUGCCAAUAAAAGAACUUGAGUUAAAUAUUGGCUCCGAUAAUUUCCAAACGUCUCCAUCAUAAGGUAUUUUUAAAUUGAUUUCUAAAUAUUUUUAAAUAAUAUUUUGUAAUUGUACAUAUGCAACGUUAUAUUAAAACUUCAGAAUGAUUCACGUUUA